UUCUGCCCUAUGAUUAAUUAAAUGGCUGCAGUAUUUUGACUGUGCAAAGGUAGCAUAAUAAUUAGUCUUUUAAUUGAAGGCUUGUAUGAAUGGAUUUAUGAGAAAUUUGUUUUAUUAAUUAUAUUUUUAUAAUUUAAUUUUUAUGUAAAAAAGCUUAAUUUUUUUUUUGGGACGAUAAGACCCUAUAGAACUUUAAUUUUUUAUAAUAGAUUAUUUUGUUUUGGUUUAAUUUUCAUUUAGUAUUAUAAAAUUUUUUUGUUGGGGUGACAAAUAAAUUUUUAUUACUUUAUUUUUUUCUAUCAUUUAUUUAUGUUUUCUUGAUCCAUUUUUUGAUUAUAAGAUUAAGUUACCUUAGGGAUAACAGCGUAAUUUUAAUGGGGAGUUCAUAUCUAUAUUAAAGUUUGCGACCUCGAUGUUGAAUUAAGGUAAAGUUGAGGGGUAG
rnacentral:rRNA from 1 species